rnacentral:rRNA from 1 species
AGAAUGAACGCUGGCGGCGUGCUUAACACAUGCAAGUCGAGCGAGGCCAGGGGGGCAACUCCCUGAGUCGAGCGGCGGACGGGUGAGUAACACGUGGGUAACCUACCCGGAAGUGGGGAAUACCUCGGGGAAACCCGAGCUAAUACCGCAUAACAUCUCGAGGACGAAAGUUCUUGUGAUCAAAGCGGGGCCGCAAGGCCUCGUGCUACCGGAUGGGCCCGCGCCCGAUUAGCUAGUUGGCGAGGUAAUGGCUCACCAAGGCGACGAUC